UUAAUUGAAGAGUUUGAUCAUGGCUCAGAUUGAACGCUGGCGGCAGGCUUAACACAUGCAAGUCGAGCGGUAGCACAGGGGAGCUUGCUCUCUGGGUGACGAGCGGCGGACGGGUGAGUAAUGUCUGGGAAACUGCCUGAUGGAGGGGGAUAACUACUGGAAACGGUAGCUAAUACCGCAGAACGUCGCAAGACCAAAGAGGGGGAC
rnacentral:rRNA from 1 species